CGAAGGCGGGGGUAGGGGUGAGGGACGGACCCCAGGACACCCCUCUUUCCCUCCCCCCCUUUCCCUUUCCCCGGCCACCACCUCUCCAGCCGCCGCUCCCUCUUCUUCCCUUCCAGCCAGCACAAUGGGGGCUCGAGGCCCGGGCGGCCCCUCGGAACCGUUUUCUGGUUAAGAAGCGAAGGGUAUCUAACUGCUACACCCUGCAAACACACUCGGAAGGGAAAGGUAACCUGCGGCGAGGCGCGGCUGCCAGCGGCACGCACUGGAGCCUGGUUGGACGCACCGGCCCCUACAGGUGAUUCCGCAAAGGCCAGGUUGACCCCAGAGCGGCCCAAAUUCCUGUCUCUCCCUCCUUCCUCCUCACUUCUGAUUUCAACUUGGAAUUCGUUUUUUUGUUUUGUUUUGUUUUGUUUUGUUUUGUUUUGUUUUGUUUUUCUUAACAAGGACUCAAGUUAAGUCCUCCUGGGGAGCGCUGUAGGCAAAAGCAGAGUUGCGAAGGAGAGGCGGGGUUGUGCUCUUUACUCCUCUUUGCAAGCUUUUCUCAGAGGGGUUGUAAUCAGGAGCGCGCUGGAUCCCAAGCCACGCGGUUUUUCCCGGAGUGGCGGGUGAGCGUCAGUAAUAGGCAGGAGAGGAGCUCCCAACAACUGAGGACCCACGACCCUGACAUUUGUUUUCUCAGGGUCCCUGAUAGCGGCAGAGAAAGUGCAGUUCCCUCUGGACCGCAAGGUGCCUGGGCCCCUGCCCCACACUGGCCUGGGCAGGGAAGUGAGUGCCACUUUCUUUCUUCUCAGGGUCAGUGCCGUGGGCUGGUGGGCUGCAGCGCUAUGGGAAGUGGAGACCUUUUCUCCCACCUGUGCUCCUUAGCUCUCCAGGCCGUGGGUUGCUGUUUGGUCCCCUCGCUCACUCCCCUGUCUGUGACCUGGGCACUGUUGGCAUGAGGCCCCUUGAGUCACCUACCUGUGGGGCUGGGGAUGAAUCUCCGUACUCUAAGGGGAAGGAACCCCAGGCCCAGACCGAGCUGGAAAAGGGGCCAGGGACCAGUGGUCCGUUUUGGGCUCAGCUUCGUGGCCACCUGAAAGCCAUUCAGCCCUCGAAGGCAGGAUGUCCAUCCUGGGCCUCAGUUUCCUUACUGUGAAGCGAGGAAAUGCGGCGGUAGGUAAUACCCACCUCAUGGUGCUGUCCUGCUGAUUUGGGAGCAGGUGUUGGGCUCUAACAGUCCAUAAACCUUGAUUUUUUACUGCAGUCAUUGUCUAGACGCAGGUAGCAAAGCCUUAGCAGCAAAGCUGUGACCCUGCCUCAUGCAGCGGUGGCUUUAGCCACCAUCCUGGCCUCUCUGCAGCUCAUGGACUGGUUGGGAAGCAGAGAUCUUAGACACCCUGGGGUAGCUUCCACACCUUGUAAUGUGUGUGGCCCAGGAAGCUCAGCUAACAUGAUAGGCAGAGGCAGUGAGGACUUUUACCCACUACCAAAGGCAUUCUUAUGUGCCCAGCCUCAGCUGUGGCCCAGUACCCCGGUGCCCAUCCCUUUGAUGCCUGCUACCACCCUAAGUGAAGAGGAGCCCUGUGCUGGCUGAUGCCCACCUGGGGCAUAGGCUGACUGGAGCCUGGCCAUGCCCAGGACCCUACUCUAUCAGGGCACAAGAAUCAACCCCCCCCCAUCCUGUGCAGUUACCACUGGGCACUAGGAAUCUUAAAAUUUUUAAGUGAACAAGGAAGGCGCCCUUCUCUCUCCGUUUGCCAGUCUUCUCCGUCUUUAUGACCAGUCCCCCACUGCUGUGCUCUCCUUCAGAGACCCUGUGCAGGGGACAGAGCCUUGAACACUAGCAAUGCAGGGGUGUGCAGUGGAAGCCCUUUCCCUGCACGAAGCCCGGUUCCUCUGUCCCGGGUGAGCGCCUGCCCGCCUGGAGUCGCAUUGAGAGGAUUCCACUACGCUGCCUCUAUUAUUAUACCGUAAAUCUCUUUAAAUUCUGGAACUAAUUACGUAGAGGAUAUGUCUCAAUUUGUUCUGCAUUGAUGCCGCAGCGGGGACGGGGGCCAGGCCAUGGCUGCUCAGAUACAUGGGCCCAUGAAAUUGAUGAACUGAGAGCUGCUUCCAGCCCUGCGCGCACCAUCUGGAAUUCCAGUCUGAGGUUACAAUUAGAACUCCUGACCCCAGAUUCAACUUUGCAAACAACAGAGAAAAUGGGGAAAAGGAAAAAAAAAGAGAGAGAGAAGAAAAGAAAAAAAUUUAUUCUGCACCUGUAAAAAAAAUCCACACACGAUCUUAAAAUCUGUCCAUCUUAGCAAAUUCUU